UAACACGUGAGUGACCUGCCUUUUAGACUGGAACAACUUGCCGAAAGGUGAGCUAAUGCCGGAUGAGUUAUAUAAGUGCAUGUUUAUAUAGGAAAAGUUGGGGAGACCUGACGCUGAAAGAUGGACUCGCGUCCCAUUAGCUAGUUGGUAGGGUAAUGGCCUACCAAGGCGACGAUGGGUAGCCGGCCUGAGAGGGUGGCCAGCCACAUUGGGACUGAGACACGGCCCAGACUCCUACGGGAGGCAGCAG
rnacentral:rRNA from 1 species